rnacentral:rRNA from 1 species
CCUACGGGUGGCUGCAGUGGGGAAUUUUCCGCAAUGGGCGAAAGCCUGACGGAGCAAGACCGCGUGAGGGAGGAAGGCUCUUGGGUUGUAAACCUCUUUUCUUAGGGAAGAAUUCAUGACGGUACCUAAGGAAUCAGCAUCGGCUAACUCCGUGCCAGCAGCCGCGGUAAUACGGAGGAUGCAAGCGUUAUCCGGAAUCAUUGGGCGUAAAGCGUCCGCAGGUGGAAGUUCAAGUCGAUUGUCAAAGGCAGUAGCUUAACUACUGACAGGCAGUG